GAUCAUGGCUCAGGAUGAACGCUGGCGGCGUGCCUAACACAUGCAAGUCGAACGAAGCACCUUACUUGAUUCUUCGGAUGAAGGUCUGGUGACUGAGUGGCGGACGGGUGAGUAACGCGUGGGUAACCUGCCCUGUACAGGGGGAGUAACAAGCUGGAAACGGGACUGCUAAUAACCGCCAUAAGCGCACGAGGAGACAUCUCCUUGUGUGAAAAACUAACCGGUCGGGUACGAGGAAGUGGGCCCGGCCGGU
rnacentral:rRNA from 1 species